GCAGUUAGUUUUGGGGCUGGAAAUUUGAGCAGAGAGAAUGGCAGAGUCUUUUCAGGAGCCAGAAAUGCAUGUGAGGACCAAGAACUUCUAACAGUAGAGGAACUCUGGCUGGGGUAGUUGAGGGGGAGGAGAAAUGAGGAUCAAGGGGGCAUACAGUGCAUGAAAACAAAAGGUGAGGCCCAAGAUCAGCCAAAGUGAGUAAACCACGGUUACCAUGGCUACUCUUCAGUGGAGACGGAAGGAAGCCCUGUAUCCUCCCCUUCCAACCACACUACGCUGUUCCACUCCCCAUCUCCAUCUCCUGUACCCCAGACACACUCAGGCAAGCACAGCACCACCCUGGAUGACUCUGCGGAAUGCCUCUCAGAGACACGGAACUAGAAACCUAGGGGAAGAGGGACAUCAAGGCUUUUGCCUCACAAGCUGACUCUGGAACAAAGAGCCAGGCUGAGGGGCUGGAAGAAGAAACUUCCAGCAGAGCCACCCAGAUAUGCUUCCCCCACCCUCUAGACCUUCCACACCAACCAGUGUCCAGUCAGUCCACAGAGCAUCCUCCUGGGCUGUGGUGACUGAAGUUGAAGGGAAGAAAAUAUAAUAAUAAUUUUGGGCAGGUCGUCUUUCUUUACUGUAUUGGAUGGAUAUAGAAUCAAUAAAUCUAUAGGUUUAUCCCAUUUUUCUGAACAAAUUUAGAGGUCAAAGAUGAACCCUCAAGGGGACAGAAUAUGACCAGCAGGACUAUUGAUAUCGUCUGCCCUAGGCACUCCUCCUUACCCUCCUCUCCCCUAUAUUUUGGGGGCAGUCAUAUUCCUCAGCAGUCAGUUGCUCUGCCUCCAGUCCUAACUGGCUUCUGAAAAACAGUUCUGGUCCAUUCAUUCCCUGUCUCGAGACUUCCGGAGCUUCCUGACCUGUGAAUGAAAUCCACAGGCCCAUCACAAGAUGGCUGCGCUCUCCAGUCCCCGGCACCCCAGGCUGCUCUGAACAUGUGAGAGCUCCUCCCUCAAGGCCUGAAUUUUCGCAGGUCUUCAUCACACUCAGCCCGCCAUCAUUUUUUCAGAUUCAGUUCCAAUAUGUCACUCUGUCUGUAGAGCCUUCCCUGAAUCUCACAGACAAAUGCGGCAGUUCCCUUUGUGGGGGAUAUUCAUCAUGUUUUUCCUCAUUGGCCUAUGUUUUUGCCUCUUCUUGUAGAUGUCCAUCUAGGCUGGGAGCUCCUAGGGGGUAAACGCAGCCUCUCACUCACCUGGCACAGAGUCGAUGCUCAUGGAAUGAUACGUGAUGGGGAGAGUGAGUAAGUGAAUGAAUGAAUGAAUGCUAUUCUGGAAGGAAGAGGGAGAGAGGGAGCAGGGAAAGGUCAGAAGGGGGCCCAGAGUCUUCAGCACACAAUGUGGGUGUAUCACUGUGGCCAGGAACAAUUCGCUUCUCUGCCUGCAUUACUUUUUGGGAAAUGGGAGAGCUGAGGCUCAGUGUAGGCAAACUGGGUCCAGUCAGCAGGGAAGCCAUGAGCUCCACGGUUUAGGGGAGGAGUCCGGUGCUUAAGGAAGCUAUCACGUGGAAGAUCUCCCUGCCCUCCUCCUAUUGGUCUGUAUUGGUUUUUCUUCUUCACCAGUGGAGGCUUUUCUUCUCCCAGGAAGAAUCCAGAAUAGUUCAGACAAGCUUCAGGUCCGCCAGAACCGGGGAAAACAACGUGUAGGGUUUGUUUUAAAGGGCUUUUAAAUGGGGUUUGGGAGAUCCAGGUAGAUUAGAAUCUUGACUCUGCACUGGCUGUGCAAGACAGAAAUUCACCUUUCAAAACUUCUGUUCCCCAGUCUAUGCGGUAAGAAGUUUAGAUUAGCUGAUUUCUAGGGAGAUUUUGGGCAGGCAUGAUUCAGUUCCAUGAAGGGCUGUGGGACAGGACUGCACUAAGAGGUCCUAUAGAUUGGAUUCUUCAGUUCCCUCCCUUCCGCUGGAGAAUAGAGGAAUCUGCCUUCGCUGCACACUAGAUUUACCUGGAGAACAAAUGGAAAGCAGGCCAGGAUCCUGGGUGAAAUGUGGCACAUUUGAGGAGACUUCAACUUCCCUUGCCCUCCAGUGUGGUCUUUUCCCCACCCCCAGACAUGAAAGGGAAGCAGGUCACAAAGCCUUUCGGAUUAUAAAAGAAACACUUGCUUCUCACAAGGGGAGCAGCAGACUUACUCUGUACUAAAUGCCAGGAUAAGCCUCUGGCUGGGCCUCGACUGUGACCCUCCGGCCUCUUUCUACAGCUCUGCCUGGAUGGACUGGCCUAUCUCUGCUGGAUUCCCGAAGUGCAUUGUGUAGAGACAGCAACUCAGAGGUGGGACCAGCUGCCAGGCCCUUUCUCCAUUGGUUGAGUUCAGCAGGUAACCUGAAGCUUUGCUGAGAGGUGCAUAAAUAAAGAGUGAAACUAGUACCACCUCCUUGAAAUGGGCUGAGUCCCUCUUGCUCACCCUUGACUUGGAAAAACCAGUUUCUCUUUUAUUGUCUGUUACUAAUCUCUAUUCUAAAAAUUCAGCUCAAUUCUCAACCAUACUCCAAACUCUCUCUUUUCCAGCUACCUUUACUCCCUCUCCUUCAAUUCCACUUUCCUCUGCUUACUUUUUUUUUUUUUCUGACAGGGUCUCACUUUGUCGCCCGGGCAGGAGUGCAGUGGCUCAAUCUUGGGCUCACUGCAGCCUCAACCUCCCAGAGGCGGGGUUUCACCAUGUUGCCCAGACUGGUCUUGAACUCCUGAGCUUAAGCAAUCCACCUGCCUCGGCCUCCCAAAGUGUUGGGAUCACAGGCGUGAGCCACCGCAUCCGGCCUCAUGUUCUUUUUCAUUAAAGAGAGAAAUCAACUAUUCAGGACCGGCCCCCACCUUUCCUCAGGAGUCAUUUCUGUUCCGCACAGGCCUGCUGAACUGGGUGCUUUAUAUAGGACACUGUCAUCUCUCAAGUACCCAUCUUGGAGGGUACGGACCCCACAUGAGGAUUUCAGUGGAGUGAAGUUCAGGAGGCAUGGAGCUGACAACCAUGAGGCCUCGGCAGCCACCGCCACCACCGCCGCCGCCACCACCGUAGCAGCAGCAGCAGCAGCAGCAGCAGCAGCAGCAGCAGCAAGAGUAACUCUGACUUAGGAAUAGAGACAGCCAGAGAGAAAUGUGAUCAAUGAAGGAGACAUCUGGAGUGGUCCCCAGGCAGGUGGCUGGGACACUAUUUGCAAUCAGCAAGGAACCCUGCUGCCCUUAGACUCCCCACAGAGCAAGCAGAACUUGCAGAAUGGGGUAAAAACACUCUAUUAAAGAUUUUUUAAACCUAUUUAUAUUGUAAUAAAGUAAAUGUAAAUAAAAUUUAAGUGAAGGCAGAUUGCAGAUAUUUCCGAUGCUAUACAAGAUAUAUCUCAUAGUAUGGGUGUAGAUUCUGCAAAGGUUAAUGCAGUUAAACAUAUUUGACACAUAAAAAUGUCAGAUCCAACAUUAAUCAUUCACCAAUUGUAAUUGCCUUUCUAUGGGUCUCUUCUCCCCAAGACAUAGCUUAAAACACCAGGCUCGGUAGAAAUCUGGGAGGAAAAAAGCAAAUAAUACCUCUCAGCUGUCAGGGUCUAUGAUACGCUUUGAUAGAUUUAGCACUGAUUUCAUUCUCUUUACAAUUCAGUGUGAUUGGGUGUGCGUGUGUGUGUGUGUGUGUGUGUGUGUGUGUGUGUGUGUUACUCCAUGUUUCUCCUUUUUAAGGAAGGAGAAGGUGUGGAACAAGAGAAAGUUCCUAAGUCUGAAGGAAGUCCAACCCAGUUAUGAAGGGAAUGCCAUCCACAAGCCUUUUUUAUAAUUGGCCCCUGCCUCAGGUAAAGGGGUCUCCUUUAAGGAGCCAGUCUGGCUAAAUUGGCAGAUUCUGAACAAAGCCUGGCCCUGACAAGUCUUCAGAAAAACCGGUUUUCACCUCCAGAAUGUGCCCCAG
rnacentral:lncRNA from 10 species